rnacentral:rRNA from 1 species
UACGUGGGGGGCCAGCGUUGCUCGGAAUUACUGGGUGUAAAGGGUUCGUAGGCGGUGUGGCAAGUCGGGAGUGAAAUCUCUGGGCUUAACCCAGAGACUGCUUCCGAAACUGCUGUGCUUGAGUGUGGGAGAGGCGCGUGGAAUUGCAGGUGUAGCGGUGAAAUGCGUAGAUAUCUGCAGGAACACCCGUGGCGAAAGCGGCGCGCUGGACCACUACUGACGCUGAGGAACGAAAGCUAGGGGAGCAAACAGG